GAUGAACGCUAGCGGCAGGCCUAAUACAUGCAAGUCGAGGGGUAUGGGUUGCUUGCAACCCAGAGACCGGCGCACGGGUGCGUAACGCGUAUGCAAUCUACCUUAAUCAGGGGGAUAGCCCGGAGAAAUCCGGAUUAACACCGCAUAACAUUGAGUUGUGGCAUCACAGUUCAAUCAAAUAUUUAUAGGAUUAAGAUGAGCAUGCGUGACAUUAGUUAGUUGGUGAGGUAACGGCUCACCAAGACCACGAUGUCUAGGGGAUCUGAGAGGAUGACCCCCCACACUGGUACUGAGACACGGACCAGACUCCUACGGGAGGCAGCAGUAAGGAAUAUUGGUCAAUGGGCGCAAGCCUGAACCAGCCAUGCCGCGUGCAGGAAGACGGCACUAUGGGUUGUAAACUGCUUUUGUACCGGAAUAAACCUUCUCUUGCGAGAGAAGCUGAACGUACGGUAAGAAUAAGGAUCGGCUAACUCCGUG
rnacentral:rRNA from 1 species